rnacentral:rRNA from 1 species
UGGGGAAUAUUGCACAAUGGGGGAAACCCUGAUGCAGCGACGCCGCGUGAACGAAGAAGGUAUUCGUAUCGUAAAGUUCUGUCCUAUGGGAAGAUAAUGACAGUACCAUAGAAGAAAGCUCCGGCUAAAUACGUGCCAGCAGCCGCGGUAAUACGUAUGGAGCGAGCGUUGUCCGGAAUUAUUGGGCGUAAAGGGUACGCAGGCGGUUUAAUAAGUCGAAUGUUAAAGAUCGGGGCUCAACCCCGUAAAGCAUUGGAAACUGAUAAACUUGAGUAGUGGAGAGGAAAGUGGAAUUCCUAGUGUAGUGGUGAAAUACGUAGAUAUUAGGAGGAAUACCAGUAGCGAAGGCGACUUUCUGGACACAAACUGACGCUGAGGCACGAAAGCGUGGGGAGCAAACAGG